GUUCCUGUAGUUGAAUAACAACGGUGGUUUUUCGAGUCAUUAGUUCUGGUUAAAGUCCUGACGGGAAUU
rnacentral:tRNA from 2 species